rnacentral:rRNA from 1 species
UACGGGGGGGGCAAGCGUUGUUCGGAAUUACUGGGCGUAAAGGGUUCGUAGGUGGCCUGCUAAGUCAGACGUGAAAUCCCUCAGCUUAACUGGGGAACUGCGUCUGAGACUGGUGGGCUUGAGUGCAGGAGAGGAACGCGGAAUUCCAGGUGUAGCGGUGAAACGCGUAGAUAUCUGGAGGAACACCGGUGGCGAAGGCGGCGUUCUGGACUGCUACUGACACUGAGGAACGAAAGCCAGGGGAGCAAACGGG